GACAAGGUUCCAGGCCCUACGGGGUGCAGCAGGCGCGAAACCUCCGCAAUGUGAGAAAUCGCGACGGGGGGAUCCCAAGUGCCAUUCUUAACGGGAUGGCUUUUCAUUAGUGUAAAGAGCUUUUGGAAUAAGGGCUGGGCAAGACCGGUGCCAGCCGCCGCGGUAACACCGGCAGCUCUAGUGGUAGCAGUUUUUAUUGGGCCUAAAGCGUCCGUAGCCGGUUUAAUAAGUCUCUGGUGAAAUCCUGUAGCUUAACUGUGGGAAUUGCUGGAGAUACUAUUAGACUUGAGACCGGGAGAGGUUAGAGGUACUCCCAGGGUAGAGGUGAAACUCUGUAAUCCUGGGAGGACCGCCUGUUGCGAAGGCGUCUAACUGGAACGGUUCUGACGGUGAGGGACGAAAGUUAGGGGCGCGAACCGGAUUAGAUACCCGGGUAGUCCUAACCGUAAACGAUGCGGACUUGGUGUUGGGGUGGCUUUGAGCUGCUCCAGUGCCGAAGGGAAGCUGUUAAGUCCGCCGCCUGGGAAGUACGGUCGCAAGACUGAAACUUAA
rnacentral:rRNA from 1 species